rnacentral:rRNA from 1 species
AGUGAACGCUGGCGGUAGGCCUAACACAUGCAAGUCGAACGGCAGCACAGGAGAGCUUGCUCUCUGGGUGGCGAGUGGCGGACGGGUGAGGAAUACAUCGGAAUCUACUCUGUCGCGGGGGAUAACGUAGGGAAACUUACGCUAAUACCGCAUACGACCUACGGGUGAAAGCAGGGGACCUUCGGGCCUUGCGCGAUUGAAUGAGCCGAUGUCGGAUUAGCUAGUUGGCGGGGUAAAGGCCCACCAAGGCGACGAUCCGUAGCUGGUCUGAGAGGAUGAUCAGCCACACUGGAACUGAGACACGGUCCAUACUCCUACGGGAGGCAGCAGUGGGGAAUAUUGGACAAUGGGCGCAAGCCUGAUCCAGCCAUACCGCGUGGGUGAAGAAGGCCUUCGGGUUGUAAAGCCCUUUUGUUGGGAAAGAAAUCCAGCUGGCUAAUACCCGGUUGGGAUGACGGUACCCAAAGAAUAAGCACCGGCUAACUUCGUGCCAUCCGCCGCGGUAA